rnacentral:rRNA from 1 species
GACGAACGCUGGCGGCGUGCUUAACACAUGCAAGUCGAACGGAAAGGCCCUGCUUUUGUGGGGUGCUCGAGUGGCGAACGGGUGAGUAACACGUGAGUAACCUGCCCUUGCCUUUGGGAUAACUUCAGGAAACUGGGGCUACUACCGGAUAGGAGCUCCUGCUGCAUGGUGGGGGUUGGAAAGUUUCGGCGGUUGGGGAUGGACUCGCGGCUUAUCAGCUUGUUGGUGGGGUAGUGGCUUACCAAGGCUUUGACGGGUAGCCGGCCUGAGAGGGUGACCGGCCACAUUGGGACUGGGAUACGGCCCAGACUCCUACGGGAGGCAGCAGGGGGGAAUAUUGCACAAUGGGCGGAAGCCUGAUGCAGCAACGCCGCGUGCGGGAUGACGGCCUUCGGGUUGUAAACCGCUUUCGCCUGUGACGAAGCGUGAGUGACGGUAAUGGGUAAAGAAGCACCGGCUAACUACGUG